rnacentral:rRNA from 1 species
UCCUACGGGAGGCAGCAGUGGGGAAUUUUGGACAAUGGGCGAAAGCCUGAUCCAGCAAUGCCGCGUGUGUGAAGAAGGCCUUCGGGUUGUAAAGCACUUUUGUCCGGAAAGAAAUCCUUGGCUCUAAUACAGUCGGGGGAUGACGGUACCGGAAGAAUAAGCACCGGCUAACUACGUGCCAGCAGCCGCGGUAAUACGUAGGGUGCGAGCGUUAAUCGGAAUUACUGGGCGUAAAACGUGCGCAGGCGGUUUGCUAAGACCGAUGUGAAAUCCCCGGGCUCAACCUGGGAACUGCAUUGGUGACUGGCAGGCUAGAGUAUGGCAGAGGGGGGUAGAAUUCCACGUGUAGCAGUGAAAUGCGUAGAGAUGUGGAGGAAUACCGAUGGCGAAGGCAGCCCCCUGGGCCAAUACUGACGCUCAUGCACGAAAGCGUGGGGAGCAAACAGGAUUAGAUACCCUGGUAGUCCACGCCCUAAACGAUGUCAACUAGUUGUUGGGGAUUCAUUUCCUUAGUAACGUAGCUAACGCGUGAAGUUGACCGCCUGGGGAGUACGGUCGCAAGAUUAAAACUCAAAGGAAUUGACGGGGACCCGCACAAGCGGUGGACGAUGUGGAUUAAUUCGAUGCAACGCGAAAAACCUUACCUACCCUUGACAUGGUCGGAAUCCCGCUGAGAGGUGGGAGUGCUCGAAAGAGAACCGGCGCACAGGUGCUGCAUGGCUGUCGUCAGCUCGUGUCGUGAGAUGUUGGGUUAAGUCCCGCAACGAGCGCAACCCUUGUCCUUAGUUGCUACGCAAGAGCACUCUAAGGAGACUGCCGGUGACAAACCGGAGGAAGGUGGGGAUGACGUCAAGUCCUCAUGGCCCUUAUGGGUAGGGCUUCACACGUCAUACAAUGGUCGGAACAGAGGGUUGCCAACCCGCGAGGGGGAGCUAAUCCCAGAAAACCGACCGUAGUCCGGAUUGCACUCUGCAACUCGAGUGCAUGAAGCUGGAAUCGCUAGUAAUCGCGGAUCAGCAUGCCGCGG